CAUCUGCUCCUCUCAACUUGAUUUCAAAUGUCAACGAGACAUCGGUGAACUUGGAAUGGAGCAGUCCUCAGAACACAGGGGGCCGCCAGGACGUUUCCUACAAUGUGGUCUGCAAGAAAUGUGGAGCUGGUGACCCCAGCAAGUGCCGACCCUGCGGGAGUGGUGUCCAUUUUACCCCACAGCAGAAUGGCCUGAAGACCACCAAAGUCUCCAUCACUGACCUCCUAGCUCAUACCAACUACACAUUUGAAAUCUGGGCGGUGAAUGGAGUGUCCAAGUAUAACCCUAGCCCCGAUCAAUCAGUUUCCGUCACCGUGACAACCAACCAAGCAGCACCUUCAUCCAUUGCUUUGGUCCAGGCUAAAGAAGUAACAAGAUACAGUGUUGCAUUAGCUUGGUUGGAACCAGAUAGGCCCAAUGGGGUGAUCUUGGAGUAUGAAGUCAAAUAUUAUGAGAAGGAUCAGAACGAGCGAAGUUAUCGCAUUGUCCGGACGGCUGCCAGGAACACGGAUAUCAAAGGACUGAACCCUCUGACUUCCUAUGUUUUCCAUGUGCGAGCCCGGACUGCUGCUGGCUAUGGGGACUUCAGUGAGCCUUUGGAGGUCACAACCA